rnacentral:lncRNA from 1 species
UAUUAUGAGUUUUUCAUGGUGUUCUUCAAAUGUUCUUGAAGUUCUUGCCAAGAACAAAAAGGUUUGAAGUUUUGAUUCAAAAGUUUUAUGUUUUUCAUAAAGUUUUGGUUUAAUUUUGAUGGGUGAUGGAUAUUGGUGAAGCAUUAAAAUUGGAUUUAAUGUUUGUCAAAAACUCAUUAAUGUUUUACAAAACAUUUUCUUACAAACCAUCAAUUUCACAUCACCCACCAAAAUCAACUUGCAUAUUGCACAUGCAUGCACCACUUGCAUAAAACCCUUUCACACUCAUUCACACCUCUAAAAACCGGCCACCCCCUAGUGGGGGUACUUUUGGGGUCUUUUAUGCAAUUACAUAAAGUUUUGAUACUUUU